AGGUCCAGCCUGCCCGGUGACAAAGUUUAACGGCCGCGGUAACCUGACCGUGCGAAGGUAGCAUAAUCACUUGUUCUUUAAUUGGGGACCAGUAUCAACGGCAUCACGAGGGCUACACUGUCUCCUCUCUCCAAUCAGUAAAACUGAUUUCCCCGUGAAAAAGCAGGGAUAAAAUCAUAAGACGAGAAGACCCCAUGGAGCUUUAAACCCACAGCAACUCAGUCCCCCACUUCUCUAUAACUCACAGAGUCAUGCACGUCGGUUUUAGGUUGGGGCGACCGCGGAGCAAAAAUUAACCUCCACAACGAAAAGAACUUAAUCUUUAUCCAAGAGUUACUACUCUAAGAAUUAGUACACUAACGAACAAUGACCCGAUAUUCGAUCAACGGACCAAGUUACCCUGGGGAUAACAGCGCAAUCUACUUCAAGAGUCCCUAUCGACAAGUGGGUUUACGACCUCGAUGUUGGAUCAGGGUACCCCAGUGGUGCAGCCGCUACUAAAGGUUC
rnacentral:rRNA from 1 species